GAUGAACGCUGGCGGCGUGCUUAACACAUGCAAGUCGAGCGAGAAGUUUUGAAAAGAUUCUUCGGAUGAAAUUUAAAAUGGAAAGCGGCGGACGGGUGAGUAACGCGUAGGCAACCUGCCCCAUACAAAGGGAUAGCAUUUGGAAACGAAUAUUAAUACCUUAUGAAACUUAACUAGUGCAUGCUAGGUAGGUCAAAGAUUUAUCGGUAUGGGAUGGGCCUGCGUCUGAUUAGCUAGUUGGUGAGGUAACGGCUCACCAAGGCGACGAUCAGUAGCCGACCUGAGAGGGUGAACGGCCACAUUGGAACUGAGACACGGUCCAAACUCCUACGGGAGGCAGCAGUGGGGAAUAUUGCACAAUGGGGGAAACCCUGAUGCAGCAACGCCGCGUGAACGAUGAAGGCCUUUGGGUCGUAAAGUUCUGUUCUAGGUGAUGAAAACUGACAGUAACCUAGGAGAAAGCCCCGGCUAACUCCGUGCCAGCAGCCGCGGUAAUACGGAGGGGGCAAGCGUUAUCCGGAAUUAUUGGGCGUAAAGGGUACGUAGGUGGCCUUUUAAGCGUAGGGUAUAAGGCAAUGGCUCAACCAUUGUUCGCCCUAUGAACUGGAAGGCUUGAGUGCAGGAGAGGAAAGCGGAAUUCCUAGUGUAGCGGUGGAAUGCAUAGAUAUUAGGAGGAACAUCAGCGGCGAAGGCGGCUUUCUGGACUGCAACUGACACUGAGGUACGAAAGCGCGGGGAGCAAACAGG
rnacentral:rRNA from 1 species